CGGGAGAGUAAAGACUACACUACAUUGUCUAUACAGAACAAUGACGGCAGGGAGGAUGACAGUGGUAAAGAUGCAGUUCUUGAGGAUUCAUUACUUUAAGUUGAAGGUGCAACCACCCGUGGGAACUUCUACGAUUUUGCUAACCAUGGAGACCAGAUUGACGCACUACAUUCUAGUCCAAGAACAUGGCGCAGAGGUACUGAUAGUGGUUUCCAGAUGGAAUUUGAAGAUAUCCCUUCAAGGAGCCAGACUGGCAGUACCAGUUGGCGUCUGACUGGGCUAGAUGUGGUUUGCAGUGACUUUGGCUUCCAAAUUCUCUAAUGACAGGUUCAUUAAGUGAAGUUAAAGUUGUGGGCUCAAAGGCCCUGCUGGCUGUCAUGGAUGCUCCAGAGUCUUGAGGUUAUAAAGUGAACCCUUUGACUAACACCUUGGCUGUACCCUUCACCGGGUGCUAUGUGAAAUGGCUAGGUUUCUGUAAAUGUACUGUAAAGUAA